UGAAAAUCAUUGAACUUACUUUCAAGAUCUCCAAAUAUAACCAGUAAUAUUAAUGAUAUAAACAGUAAUAUAAGCCAAUGCUUUAAGUAUUCACUUUAUUUUGGAAUGUUUGCUCAAUCUCAUCCUCAAUAAAGUAUUUUUAUUUCUGAAUGUACCUCUGAAAAUCAUAUUGGCAUCUGAUCUUUACUCUGUAUGUCUGUCCUUGAUCUUUGAACGUGCAUCUCAUUCCCAUAUUUUUCAAAUUUGCUUGAAUCUAAUAAAUUGUUUUCUGUAUUUUUUUUGUCCUUAUUUUAUAGCUGAGAAAGAGAGAAUAAAUCCUGCAAACCCCACAGCAUGUUAAGGGAUUCCAGCCCAGGAUCCUUAUUCUGUAAGGCACAUUUUCCUCGCAGGGCCAGGUGGUGUCUCCUGAACACCUUCUAGUCCCCAGACCUCUUCAGGAAACUGCAGUUAUAGAAAACAAAGCAGCAUUGCUCAGUUUGAAUGGUAAAGGAUGGAAUUUUUGUGUCAACUGUGAGUGGAGUAGCCUCCAGCAAUGAGACCUCUGGACAGCUGUUCUUCCUCUCCCACUCAGCAAAGACACUGGUGGUGUGUCGCUCCCGUGAGCUUGCUGGGAAAACAGAUGUAGUGCUGGGUGGGUACCACAGUCUGACCUUCUGUAAGUCUUUUAAUAAGAAAUUGAUUACUAUACUGUAAUAUCUGCAAAGAAAUAAAGUGAACAAGGUGAUGAUUCUGAGUUAGAAAGUUGCAUGAAUUCUUUCAGCUCUUUGAGUACAGCUGAAGAAAGGCACACAUUUUUAUUUCUAUUUAACUCUAAGCCUACAGAGAGGAAACAGUUCAACAUAUGAGCACAAUUAAAGCAGAGCUAAUAUGGUAAAGUGCCACCUUCCUUCACAUUCCUGUUUUUUUCAUGCAGAACUGGCUACUUGAUUUGCUGAGCCCAGUGCAAAAUAAAAAUCUGGGGCCCCUUGCUCACAAAGGAUAAAGAGUACCAAGAUGGCAACAGCAGAGCAUUAAACCAAGUGUGGGCCCUUUUGAGUAUGGGCCUGUGUGACCGCACGGUUCUGUGCCCAUGAAGCCAGCUGUACCAUCAUAGUUUGAUUCACCAUAUUCUUUAUUUCAUCACUGUUGGAUCUAGCAUUUUCACUUACCAAUAAUCCCUUCUCUUUUUUACUUUAUGAUGGACAAACUCUUCCCUUUAUUCAUAGUCUUACUUGAAAGAUAAAUAUUAAAUAGUUUUUAAUUUAUUUACUAUUGACAAAUUAUUAAAUUCUUCCUAGGCAGAAAGGAUAACUAAAAUAAAUUCGGAAUUCCAUGAGGUAAAAGAAAAAAG
rnacentral:lncRNA from 1 species